rnacentral:rRNA from 1 species
GAGUACGGCCGCAAGGGUGAAACUCAAAUGAAUUGACGGGGGCCCGCACAAGCGGUGGAGCAUGUGGUUUAAUUCGAUGCAACGCGAAGAACCUUACCAGGUCUUGACAUCCAUAGAAUUCUGCAGAGAUGUGGGAGUGCUUUCGGGAACUAUGAGACAGGUGCUGCAAGGCUGUCGUCAGCUCGUGUUGUGAAAUGUUGGGUUAAGUCCCGCAACGAGCGCAACCCUUAUUCUUUGUUGCCAGCGAUUUGGUCGGGAACUCAAAGGAGACUGCCGUUGAUAAAGCGGAGGAAGGUGGGGAGGACGUCAAGUCAUCAUGGCCCUUACGCCCAGGGCUACACACGUGCUACAAUGGCGUAUACAAAGGGAAGCGAAGGUGCGAGCUGGAGCGGAUCUCAUAAAGUACGUCUAAGUUCGGAUUGGAGUCUGCAACUCGACUCCAUGAAGUCGGAAUCGCUAGUAAUCGUAGAUCAGAAUGCUACGGUGAAUACGUUCCCGGUCCUUGUACACACCGCCCGUCACACCAUGGGAGUGGGUUGCACCAGAAGUAGAUAGCUUAACUGCGAGGGGGGCGUUUACCACGGUGUGAUUCAUGACUGGGGUGAAGUCGUAACAAGGUAACCA